UGAGGAAUAUUGCACAAUGGGCGCAAGCCUGAUGCAGCAACGCCGCGUGCGGGACGAAGGCCUUCGGGUCGUAAACCGCUUUUCUGGGGAAAGAGCAAGGACGGUACCUCAGGAAUAAGUCUCGGCUAACUACGUGCCAGCAGCCGCGGUAAAACGUAGGAGGCGAGCGUUAUCCGGAUUUACUGGGCGUAAAGCGCACGCAGGCGGCUCUGUGAGUCGGACGUGAAAGCUCCCGGCUUAACCGGGAGAGGCCGUUCGAUACUGCGGGGCUUGAGGUAGGGAGAGGAAUGCGGAAUUCCCGGUGGAGUGGUGGAAUGCGUAGAUAUCGGGAGGAACACCUGUGGCGAAAGCGGCAUUCUGGCCCUCACCUGACGCUGAGGUGCGAAAGCGUGGGUAGCAAGCA
rnacentral:rRNA from 1 species